rnacentral:misc_RNA from 1 species
GAUGAAGAACGCAGCGAAAUGCGAUAAGUAGUGUGAAUUGCAGAAUUCAGUGAAUCAUCGAAUCUUUGAACGCACAUUGCGCCCCAUGGUAUUCCGUGGGGCAUGCCUGUUCGAGCGUCAUUUACCCCCUCAAGCUCCGCUUGGUGUUGGGCGUCUGUCCCGCUUCGCGCGCGGACUCGCCCCAAAGGUAUUGGCAGCGGUCGUGCCAGCUUCUCGCGCAGCACAUUGCGCUUCACGAGGCACCGGUGGGCCCGCGUCCAUCAAGCUCACCCCCCCAGUUUGACCUCGGAUCAGGUAGGGAUACCCGCUGAACUUAAGCAUAUCAAUAAGCGGAGGA